GGCCUUCUUAUUUAUGUUUCAGAUUCCCACUCGCAGAACUGCUGAAUACUCCGUUGAGAUGGAAUACAUUGGAGCAGCAGUCGUUGGUGCAGGUUUGGCGGUGGUCGGAGUUCCAGCGGCUGUCGCGGGAUUGGGAUUCGCGGCUGGCGGAAUCGCGGCUGGAUCCAUCGGU